GACAGAGGGUGCAAACGUUGUUCGGAAUUACUGGGCGUAAAGCGCGUGUAGGCGGCCCGGAAAGUCGGAUGUGAAAGCCCUGGGCUUAACCUGGGAAGUGCAUUCGAAACUGCUGGGCUUGAGUUCUGGAGAGGAAGGCGGAAUUCUCGGUGUAGAGGUGAAAUUCGUAGAUAUCGAGAGGAACACCGGUGGCGAAGGCGGCCUUCUGGACAGUGACUGACGCUGAGACGCGAAAGCGUGGGGAGCAAACAGG
rnacentral:rRNA from 1 species